rnacentral:rRNA from 1 species
AUUGAACGCUGGCGGCAUGCUUUACACAUGCAAGUCGAACGGCAACGGGGUAGUGCUUGCCCUACUACCGGCGAGUGGCGCACGGGUGUGUCAUAUAUCGGAACGUACCGAGUAAUGGGGGAUAACCAAUCGAAAGAUUGCCUAAUACCGCAUACGUCCUGAGGGACAAAGCUGGGGAUCGCAAGACCUCGCUGUAUUCAAUCGGCCGAUAACGGAUUAGCUAGUUGGUGGGGUAAAGGCCUACCAAGGCGACGAUCAGUAGCGGGUCUGAGAGGACGAUCGGCCACACUGGGACUGAGACACGGCCCAGACUCCUACGGGAGGCAGCAGUGGGGAAUUUUGGACAAUGGGGGCAAGCCUGAUCCAGCCAUGCCGCGUGUAUGAAGAAGGCCUUCGGGUUGUAAAGUACUUUUGUUAGGGAAGAAAAGGGAAGUGCUAAUACCACUUUUUGCUGACGGUACCUAAAGAAUAAGCACCGGCUAACUACGUG